UACGUAGGUGGCAAGCGUUGUCCGGAAUUACUGGGCGUAAAGCGUGCGCAGGCGGUUUGCUAAGACAGGUGUGAAAUCCCCGGGCUUAACCUGGGAACUGCGCUUGUAACUGGCAAGCUAGAGUGUGGCAGAGGGGGGUGGAAUUCCACGUGUAGCAGUGAAAUGCGUAGAGAUGUGGAGGAACACCGAUGGCGAAGGCAGCCCCCUGGGCUGAGAUUGACGCUCAGGCACGAAAGCGUGGGGAGCAAACAGG
rnacentral:rRNA from 1 species